rnacentral:lncRNA from 1 species
AUUGAAAAGAAAACAGAGAACCUAAAAUGACAGUUGGAGACUUGAAUACUACUCUCUCAGAAAGUGGACAGUAAAUCAAUGAUGUCAUAAAAGAACUGGCCAACAGUGUCUGCCAAGUAAGCCAGACUUCCAUUCAAGAACAGCCAAAUACAUGUUAUUUAAAAAUAUACAUAAGGGUGAUGUCAGCCUCAUGACAGAAUGAGCUCUUCCCUUAGACUCUUCUCCCUAGGAAAUAAUGAAAAGGAAAUUCAUAAACCAACAUGGGACAUUCACACAACACAAAAGAAGUCUGAGAGACCCACACAGCCAUGCAUCUGAACAUGGAGGUGCUAGACCCCUGGAGGAAGAGGAUGGAGAAAGGAAUUUAGAAGAGAAAGAUCUGAUUCUUUGGCCACAGUUCAAAGACAUGAGAUACAAUUCAGGGGCUGUGAUCGUGAACCUGGACAUCAUGACACAGGUUAAAAGCUGGAGAAGACUGAUUAGUCAGCCCAUGUCUCCUAAGCAUGAUGAAAGCCGAUCAUGUCCUUGGGUACAUACACAAUGGAGCAGUUUCCAGACUAUAGAGAUGGAUUUCAAGCUACCUCUGACCAGUAGUUUUCUUAAAUUUUCUGAACACAUUUACAAGAGAAAAGGAUAAAGGGAGCGUCUCUCAUUGUGCCGUACAGUCUAAUGGACAAGAGAACACAUAUAAUCAUACACAUGAAUGCAUUUUAAUUCUUAAGUGGAUGCUCUUCUCUAGCUGGAAGAACAGAAGAAGAAAGGAAACAAAAUGAUAUCUAAAUUUAUAUUCACUUAUUCACUGAUUCAAGUAGACCCACACAAGAUUUGUGGGGGUUUUUCCCCUGAAUAGGUAGAAUGAAAACAACAGAAUUGUCAUGAUUUAGCCUAAAUAAAAACAGGGGAAUGAUCAGAACCUAAUUUCAUUUCGUU